UUCGUCGAAGCGAAGCCAGCCUCUUCUCAAGCUCAUCCACUUCACUUGAUUCAGAGCUGCAAGUUAAACUAAAGGUUAGAUUUCUUUCUUUCUUCACUGUGAUUUUGAUUUGACCAAACUUUAUAUCUAUGACAUUAGCUCACUUGUUGUUUUUAGUUGCUGCAGUGGAAGCGGGAGGAGCUGCGGUUUUUGUAGCAAUCCGACCUUUUGGAGCUGAAGAUAGCUGUUUAAAACAAAUGAAAGAGAAGACAGAUUUUAGUUUUUGACUAACCCGAGAAACUGAAAAUGAAGAAAUUAAUUUGCUAAAGCGC
rnacentral:lncRNA from 1 species